AUGGGCUCCAACCAUUUCAUCAUAUUCCCCUCAACUGCCCCUUGCUUGGCUAGUUCUCCAUUUCGUCACUGCUGCUUUCCCUCACUCCUUACUUUUUCUUCUUCAUACUAGUUUCAUAUUGUAUUUCUACAUGGAUUUUUUUCCUAUGUUUUUAUUUAUUUAUUUAUUAUUUUUGCAUUUCUUUGUGGGUUUAUUUUCCUCACUAUCCACUUCACUUCUUUCCCCAUCCUCCUCUUUAGGUAGGCCCCACCCUUGUUUUUGGCUCACAACUCAUUCUUUUGCUUUGGGUGCUGCUGCUGUUGCAUGCUUGGACUAGUGGUGCUCUUUCCAGAGGAGGGGAAGAAGCAGAGGAAGAGGAAGAAAAAGAAACACUACAUGCAUGGAUUGCAAGUGUGUGCAGAAUGAAAAGUCACAAUUCCCCCACUGGAGAAGCUCCCAGCUGCACAGGUUCGAAGGCAUAUACAUAUAUUUUGGGGUCUGGUGCCUGCCAACAGUAAAGAGUAAGGUCCUGGGAGAUGACAAAGAAGAAAUCAAAAAACAAAAACUGCAAGAAGAUGCCAGGAUGAAUGGUAGGGCAAUUCAAUAAGGAGAAGCUGCACAGGCAAUGGGAAUUUGUGGGGAAAUAUCUGGGUACAUGAAUGGGAUGGACACCACGCCAGAGAGUAAGUGCAUUGAAAUGGGGGAUGAGGAAGUAAUGGAUGAAAUUCACCGAUGAAUGGACUCUCACAUGACCCAGUGAUGUGGAUUGAACACUGUCCCUCACAACAAAUUGAGGCAAUGGAGAGAUGUGGUAGCCACACCUCCAACCAACCAACCCUCUCCCUACCACCACCACCAUCACAUCAUCCUCUGUGGAACGGACACCUCUUCUCAUCCAUCCUUCUUUCUGUUCAUCCAUUUAUCUGAUCACACAGCAUUAAGGCUUCAUGGGAUGUAUCUGUGUCACUGUAACUGUAUCGCUGGAGGCUUUUCUACAAGCUCUCAUUGGUGGGUGACUUCCGAGAAUAAUAAUAAUAAUAAAACUGCGGGAAGAAGACUAGGGCAGAAAAUUAAAGAGAAGGAAUAUAUAUAUAUAUAUAUAUAUAUAUAUAUCCUGGUGUUGAUUAUGCACCCCAUGAAUUUUGAAAUGCUCUAAGCCCCCACUAGGAGACAGGAAUGGAUCAGGUAUUCCCAUUCCCUUUACCAGAUUUUCUUUA